rnacentral:rRNA from 1 species
GACAGAGGGGGCAAGCGUUGCUCGGAAUUACUGGGCGUAAAGAGCUCGUAGGCGGCUUGUCACGUCGGAUGUGAAAGCCCGAGGCUUAACCUCGGGUCUGCAUUCGAUACGGGCUAGCUAGAGUGUGGUAGGGGAGAUCGGAAUUCCUGGUGUAGCGGUGAAAUGCGCAGAUAUCAGGAGGAACACCGGUGGCGAAGGCGGAUCUCUGGGCCAUUACUGACGCUGAGGAGCGAAAGCGUGGGGAGCGAACAGG